GUUGAAACAUUCACGGUGUCAUCCGAAGGUGGUGGGUUUAAGAGAAAAUGUCUUUUAAUAGUUAGUGAACGAAUAAAUUUCUUUAAAUCUAUAAAGAGGUUAAAAUCAUUACAGGUUUUACUAGGAGCAAACUUCAUUCCUUUAGACAAUAAAUUAAUUUCAUCAUCUGUCAGGGGGGUAUUGGUUAAAUUAAAAAUACCUCUAUCUAUUUCCCUUUGUACCAAAGGAUAGACAACCUGGGAUGGUGUAGCUAAUCCUCUGUUCUUACUCUUUUCGUGGGUGAGUUCUGAUAUAGAGGGGCAAAUCGAUUGGUAUGUUCCCAAGUUUCCAUCCUUGGGCGGAAAUAGUUGGUGAUAGUUUUUUCUUUUGGACCCCGUGGUCUCCCCUGAAAAUUUAUUUCUCGGUCAUUAUACUG